rnacentral:lncRNA from 1 species
AAGGAACUGACCCAUACCCACACCACAGCCUACCGCCCACAAGAAAAUCCUGCUGCACCUGACACCUCGCCUGAACCUCAAAUGCACUGUGCCGAGAAAGAACCUUUCUCAAAAGUUCCAUUUCCUAGGGUGCGUCCUGGACUUCCCGGAGCGGCCGCUACCUGUGACCACACUCCUCCCAGGUGUUCAUCAGGAGCCACACACCCUUCCUGACAAGCAGGUUCUCACCUGGGUCCCUGGAGGAUGCGAGG